GUCAGAGUAGACACUACUGAGUUGAAGGGACCAAUGGUCUGACUCCAUAUAAGACGGUUUCCUGUAUGGCUAUGUCUCAAGGCUGUCAGGGCACUGAUGACCAGAAACUGGAACCUGAAGGCCUUUGAAAAUCCAGACCUACACAAAAAGGUCCUUGAGGGGUUUUCCCUUCUGCUGGUCUGCAAUGAUUCUCCCAACGGCCUGAGGCCCAAUGUAUCCAGUGAUGUGACAACCUACCACAUAACUAUGAACGGUGAUAAUAAAUAGGAGACAUUCCUUCAGAGUCAUCCAGGUCCCCACCUCCCCCAUCCAGAAUAUUUGCUCUUUCAUAGUUCAGGGGUGAAUUGUGUUGCAUACACAAGUUGCAAUCAGGUUACAGUGCAGGAGUGUUCGGUAAUUUCAUAUGAUGCCCACACCCCGACCAUUGCAUGAGACGUUAGCUAACCAAGUGGGACAAGGUGCCUAAUUGAUUUGAACUGGGGCUCUUAUUCGUUAUUAAAAAGCUAUCUAGAAGGGAGGGGGAGAAAGUGAGGCAGGGGUGAGGGGGAAUAAGAACGAGAGCAACUCCCCCCCCCUUCUCCUCUGAAGGAAGCAGCAGUGUCUCCUUGCAGAACGACAACCCUCAGGAUACAGCAGUUGUCUUCAAAUCUGUGACCAUAAAAAAUCAUUAUCUCUGUGAAAUACAGCAAUUUGGGAGAUAAUCAAACAGUGACCAGGGGGCAGAGCUGCCAAUCUGAAGGAUUAUGCUCAGCGCACGCUUGAUUCCGUCUGACCUUCCUCCGAGCCAGCUGUCAGCCUGGCGAAAACGCACAUGGAUCAACUCGGGGCACAUUCAUUAGACUGUCUUCGGUGAAGGAGUCAUUUGCAUAAAACCCCAGCUUUCUUAAUUAGUA